rnacentral:misc_RNA from 1 species
AGCAGCCGCGGUAAUUCCAGCUCCAAUAGCGUAUAUUAAAGUUGUUGCAGUUAAAAAGCUCGUAGUUGAAUUUCGGGAUCAAUUAAUUGGUCGUGCCUCUGGUACGUACUGAUUUUAUUGGUUUCUCCCUUCUGACGAACCAUGAUGUCAUUAAUUUGGUGUCGUGGAGAAUCAGGACUGUUACUUUGAAAAAAUUAGAGUGUUUAAAGCAAGCUAACGCUUGAAUACAUUAGCAUGGAAUAAUGAAAUAGGACGUUUGAUCCUAUUUUGUUGGUUUCUAGGAUCGACGUAAUGAUUAAUAGGGAUAGUUGGGGGCAUUAGUAUUCAAUUGUCAGAGGUGAAAUUCUUGGAUUUAUUGAAGACUAACUACUGCGAAAGCAUUUGCCAAGGAUGUUUUCAUUAAUCAAGAACGAAAGUUAGGGGAUCGAAGACGAUCAGAUACCGUCGUAGUCUUAACCAUAAACUAUGCCGACUAGGGAUCGGAUGAUGUUAAUUUUUU